rfam:Halogranum salarium B-1 162.HSB1.1_3, whole genome shotgun sequence.
ACGGGAACAGCACGGCCGUAACUCUGACUCGCCUGUGUUCGCAGGCUUGGGAUUACGGAGGUGC